rnacentral:rRNA from 1 species
GCUUGUCUCAAAGAUUAAGCCAUGCAUGUCUAAGUAUAAGCAAUUAUACCGUGAAACUGCGAAUGGCUCAUUAAAUCAGUUAUCGUUUAUUUGAUAGUACCUUACUACUUGGAUAACCGUGGUAAUUCUAGAGCUAAUACAUGCUGAAAACCCCGACUUCGGAAGGGGUGUAUUUAUUAGAUAAAAAACCAAUGCCCUCCGGGGCUCUUUGGUGAUUCAUAAUAACUUCUCAGAUCGCAUGGCCUUGCGCCGGCGACGGUUCAUUCAAAUUUCUGCCCUAUCAACUUUCGAUGGUAAGGUAUUGGCUUACCAUGGUUUCAACGGGUAACGGGGGAUUAGGGUUCGAUUCCGGAGAGCGAGCCUGAGAGACGGCUAGCACAUCCAAGGAAGGCAGCAGG